rnacentral:rRNA from 1 species
CUCCAAUAGCGUAUAUUAAAAUUGUUGCGGUUAGAACGCUCGUAGUUGGAUACCUGCCAUGAGUCCCCGGUCCUUCCCAGUGAAGCGUACACGGGAAACUCCUUGGCGCUAGUUCAGGGAAUUCUACUGUGAUUAAUUUCACGUAGAGUGACUUGAUCUUUUACUUUGAGGAAAUGAGAGUGUUUCAAGCAGGCGUUUGCCGUGGAUAUGAUAGCAUGGAAUAAUAGCACAGGAUCACGUUCCAAAGCUGUUGGUUUUUGGAGCGAGGUAACAAAAAUAAGGAUAGUUGGGGGUAUUCGUAUUUAACUGUCAGAGGUGAAAUUCUUGGAUUUUUUAAAGACGCACUAUUGCGAAGGCAUCUACCCAGGAUGUUUUUGUUGAUCAAGAACGAAAGUUAGGGAAUCGAAGACGAUCAGAUACCGUCCUAGUCUUAACCAUAAACUAUGCCGUCUGGAGAUCGGAGUUGUCAAUCUUUUGGCAGCUUCGGCAUCCUGAGAGAAAUCGAAGUCUUUGGGUUCCGGGGGGAAUAUGGUCGCAAGGCUGAAA